rnacentral:misc_RNA from 1 species
CACGGAGGGUACGAGCGUUAAUCGGAAUUACUGGGCGUAAAGCGCACGUAGGCGGUUUGUUAAGCAAGAUGUGAAAGCCCAGGGCUCAACCUUGGAAUUGCAUUUUGAACUGGCAAGCUAGAGUUUUGAAAAAAAUGGUAGAAUUUCCAGUGUAGCGGUGAAAUGCGUAGAUAUUGGAAGGAAUACCAGUGGCGAAGGCGGCCACCUGGUCAAAAACUGACGCUGAGGAGCGAAAGCGUGGGGAGCAAACAGG